UACGUAGGGUGCGAGCGUUGUCCGGAAUUAUUGGGCGUAAAGAGCUUGUAGGCGGUUUGUCGCGUCUGCUGUGAAAUUUCGGGGCUCAACCCCGAACUUGCAGUGGGUACGGGCAGACUAGAGUGUGGUAGGGGAGACUGGAAUUCCUGGUGUAGCGGUGAAAUGCGCAGAUAUCAGGAGGAACACCGAUGGCGAAGGCAGGUCUCUGGGCCACUACUGACGCUGAGGAGCGAAAGCCAGGGGAGCAAACGGG
rnacentral:rRNA from 1 species